ACCAGGAACCUCCAUGAGAUGGGGUUUGGUGGUGGUGGUGGACCAGGAACCCAAAAAUUUGGAGGUUUGGAGAUGGUGGUGGACCAGGAACCUCCAUGAGAUGAGGUUUGGAAGUGGUGGUGGAGAAGGAACCCAAAAAUUUGGAGGUUUGGAGGUGGUGGUGGACCAGGAACCUCCAUGGGAUGGGGUUUGGAGGUGGUGGUGGACCAGGAACCUCCAUGAGAUGGGGGUGCCGGCGUCGCGGCACAGGCGGAUG